UACAGAGACCUCAAGCGUUAUCCGGAAUUACUGGGCGUAAAGCGUACCGAUAGGUGGUUUGGAAAGUCAGAAGUGAAAUCUUAAGGCUUAACUUUAAGAAUGUCUUCUGAAACUUCUAAACUAGAGGGGCAAAGAGGGAGCUGGAACGAACGGUGUAGCAGUGAAAUGCGUUGAUAUCGUUCGGAACACCAAUAGCGAAGGCAGGCUCCUGGGUGCCACCUGACACUGCUAGGACGAGAGCGUGGGGAGCGAAUGGG
rnacentral:rRNA from 1 species